GAUGAAGAACGCAGCAAAAUGCGAUAAGUAAUGUGAAUUGCAGAAUUCAGUGAAUCAUCGAAUCUUUGAACGCACCUUGCGCCCUUUGGCUAUUCUGAAGGGCAUGCCUGUUUGAGUAUCGUGAACACCUCAACUCUCAUGGUCUGCCAUGAUGAGCUUGGACUUUGGGGGUCUUGCUGGCCUACUGUCAGCUCCUCUCAAAUGAAUCAGCUUACCAGUGUUUGGUGGCACCACAGGUGUGAUAACUAUCUACGCUUGUGGUUUUCUGCCAGGUAACCUCCAGUGAUGGAGGUUCGCUGGAGCUCACAAAUGUCUCUCCUCAGCGAGGACAGCUUUUUGAACGUUUGAUCUCAAAUCAGGUAGGACUACCCGCUGAACUUAAGCAUAUCAAUAAGCGGAGGA
rnacentral:misc_RNA from 1 species